rnacentral:rRNA from 1 species
AUUGGGCCCGACGUCGCAUGCUCCCGGCCGCCAUGGCGGCCGCGGGAAUUCGAUUUUACCGCGGCUGCUGGCACGGAGUAGCCGGAGCUUAUUCUCCAGGUACUGUCAUUAUCAUCCCUGGUAAAAGAGCUUUACGACCCGAAGGCCUUCAUCACUCACGCGGCAUUGCUGGAUCAGGCUUUCGCCCAUUGUCCAAUAUUCCCCACUGCUGCCUCCCGUAGGAGUCUGGGCCGUGUCUCAGUCCCAGUGUGGCUGAUCAUCCUCUCAGACCAGCUAAGGAUCGUCGGCUUGGUAGGCCUUUACCCCACCAACUACCUAAUCCUACGCGGGCUCAUCCUUUGCCGAUAAAUCUUUGGUCCGAAGACAUCAUCCGGUAUUAGCAGUCAUUUCUAACUGUUAUUCCGAAGCAAAGGGCAGAUUCCCACGCGUUACGCACCCGUGCGCCACUAACCCCGAAGGGUUCGUUCGACUUGCAUGUGUUAGGCAUGCCGCCAGCGUUCGUUCUGAGCCAUGAUCAAACUCUAAUCACUAGUGAAUUCGCGGCCGCCUGCAGGUCGACCAUAUGGGAGAGCUCCCAAC